GCCUGGUCAGCUCAGUUGGUAAAGCGCUCCACCGGAAAUGAAGUGAUCCCUGGUUCGAUACGUGGACCAGGCG
rnacentral:tRNA from 1 species